rnacentral:rRNA from 1 species
UACGUAGGGUGCAAGCGUUAAUCGGAAUUACUGGGCGUAAAGCGUGCGCAGGCGGUUUUGUAAGUCUGUCGUGAAAUCCCCGGGCUCAACCUGGGAAUUGCGAUGGAGACUGCAAGGCUAGAAUCUGGCAGAGGGGGGUAGAAUUCCACGUGUAGCAGUGAAAUGCGUAGAGAUGUGGAGGAACACCGAUGGCGAAGGCAGCCCCCCUGGGUCAAGAUUGACGCUCAUGCACGAAAGCGUGGGGAGCAAACGAGG